GUGCUCGCUUCGGCAGCACAUAUACUAAAAUUGGAAUGAUCCAGAGAAGAUUGGCAUGGCCCCUGUGCAAGGAUGACAUGUAAAGUCAUAAGGCAUUCCAUAUUUUA
rnacentral:snRNA from 2 species